AGUACCUUGGUCCAGCUCUUCCUGCAACGGCCCAGGAGCUCAGAGCUCCACGUCUGACCUUCUAGUCAUGACCAGGACCAGGGCAGCACUCCUCCUGUUCACAGCCUUAGCAACUUCUCUAGGUUUCAACUUGGACACAGAGGAGCUGACAGCCUUCCGUGUGGACAGCGCUGGGUUUGGAGACAGCGUGGUCCAGUAUGCCAACUCCUGGGUGGUGGUUGGAGCCCCCCAAAAGAUAACAGCUGCCAACCAAACGGGUGGCCUCUACCAGUGUGUCUACAGCACUGGUGCCUGUGAGCCCAUCAGCCUGCAGGUGCCCCCGGAGGCCGUGAACAUGUCCCUGGGCCUGUCCCUGGCGUCUACCACCAGCCCUUCCCAGCUGCUGGUGAGUGGCCCUGGGUCACAGGAGGCUUCUGAGGGAGGGAGGGAGGAGCCGGGGCCGCGGGGGGCUGGGAGUCUCCUGUAGGGUGGAGGUGCCGGAAUGUGAGGGUGGGAGGAAGCAGGGGCAGCCCCCCAGCAGCCCGCUGUGUCCCCAGGCCUGCGGCCCCACCGUGCACCACGCGUGCGGGAGGAACAUGUACCUCACCGGACUCUGCUUCCUCCUGGGCCCCACCCAGCUCACCCAGAGGCUCCCGGUGUCCAGGCAGGGUGAGUGUCGGGACCACCAAGGCUUUGAGGAGCUCACGCACAUCCAAUUGGGGGUGCGGUGGGCUAGAGACAGUCUUGCCAGAGUGGAUCAGAAAGAAGGGAUCUGGAAAAAGAGUUACCACGUGUUGCAGUGGUUCCUGACGCUGCUGCCCGCACAUCCUGCCGGUCGCCCGCACGCUGCCGGACCUUUCCUGUGACCUUAACCUCUCCAAGCCUCAGUUUCUUCAUCUGUUGGAUGGGGAUAAUAACACACCCAGCACUGAAAGCAACACAGGAUGAUUCAUGGCCAGGGGUUAGCACAGCAGCUAGCACCAGGCGACAGCCCCAUGAAGGCCAGCUGUUGUUAUUUUUAGAGGAGAGGAGCUAUUUUCAUCCAAUGGGUCCUGGGAUAUGACCAAUUGGUUUGUGCCGUAGUUUAGGAAAGGUCAGUGAAAGUGCAGUGUGAGCAACGUGUGUGUGUGUACAUGUGUGUAUAUGUAUGCACGUGUACACAUGUGC
rnacentral:sRNA from 1 species